rnacentral:rRNA from 1 species
AUUGAACGCUGGCGGCAGGCCUAACACAUGCAAGUCGAGCGGAUGAAGGGAGCUUGUUCCUGGAUUCAGCGGCGGACGGGUGUGUAAUUCCUAGGAAUCUGCCUGCUAGUGGGGGAUAACGUCUGGAAACGGGCGCUAAUACUGCAUACGUCCUGAGGGAGAAAGUGGGGGAUCUUCUGACCUCACGCUAUCAUAUGAGUCUAGGUCGGAUUAGCUAGUUUGUGGGGUAAAGGCCUACUAAGGCGACGAUCCGUAACUGGUCUGAGAGGAUGAUCAGUCACACUGGAACUGAGACACGGUCCAGACUCCUACGGGAGGCAGCAGUGGGGAAUAUUGGGCAAUGGGGGAAAGCCUGAUCCAGCCAUGCCGCGUGUGUGAAGAAGGUCUUCGGAUUGUAAAGAACUUUAAGUUGGGAGGAAGGGCAGUAGGUUAAUACCUUGCUGUUUUGACGGUAACAACAGAAUAAGCACCGGCUAAGUUCGUG